UCCGAUAUAGUGUAACGCUAUCACAUCACGCUUUCACCGUGGAGACCGGGUUCGACUCCCGUAUCGGAG
rnacentral:tRNA from 1 species